CUUUCUCUCUCUUACAACCGCUUUUUUUUUUUUUGGUAUCAUUCUUCUCGAUCAUUAUCCGAUCUGGGAAAUAAAUCACGCCAUAAUGAUAAUUUAAUAGUUACUUCUUUCUGUUUACUAUAAAACAGGUGGCGUUGAUAAUUUAUUUACGUUUUUAUACUACACGUGGUUGUCAUGUGGUCGGCGUUGAAAUAUUCGAAUAUUUAUUUAAAAAAUGUUGCAAGUUUGAAAAAUUUAUUCUGUAAAGAUUAUGAAAGAUGGAAACAAGCAGCUGCUCUUUCACGAACCUUUUUUCUUUUGAAGAAACAUGCAUACAAAAUAACUUCCAAAUAAUGGUCACAUCCAAACAACAGCCAUUACUUAAGUUCUCAUCAGAGCGCACAUAACGAAAUCGUCAAAUGUAAUUUUCCCUUUCUUUCCAUAUCUCAAAACCAGUGCUUGAAGAAUGUGAAAAUUAAGGCGAUAACCUAGAAGAAUAAAGGGAGUGCUUAUAUAAGUAAUUUAUCAUAAAAAUUAUUAUUAAUGUUUACUUGACACAAUCAUAUGUAAAAAUUAAAUUUAAGAAUUAAAAUGUAAAAUACAAUGGUAUGAUAUAAUUAAUAAAAGACAAGUAUAGUUUAAGUUCAUAGAACUUUUUAUUAUUAUUAUCUCAAAUUACAUAUCUUACUCACACCAUUAUGAAAACAGUAGAAUGAUGUUUUAUCUGAUGAAUCAUGAAAUAA